AUUGAACGCUGGCGGCAGGCCUAACACAUGCAAGUCGAGCGAGAGGCGGACGGGUGAGUAAUGUAUGGGGACUGCCCGAUAGAGUGGGAUAACUACUGGAAACGGUAGCUAAUACCGCAUAAUAUCGGAUCACCCAUAUGGGAUUAGCUAGUAGGUGAGGUAAUGGCUCACCUAGGCGACGAUCCCUAGCUGGUCUGAGAGGAUGAUUAGCCACACGGUGACGGAGAAACGGCCCAGACUCCUACGGAGGCAGCAGUGGGGAAGAUCGCACAAUGGGCGCAAGCCUGAUUCAGCCAUGGCUCGUGUAUGAAGAAGGCUCGUGGGUUGGAAAGUGAUUUUAGUCGGGAGGCGUUACCGACAGAAGAAGCACCGGAUAACUCCGUGCCAGCAGCCGCGGUAAUAC
rnacentral:rRNA from 1 species